UUUUUAUCUUAAACUGCAGCGUUUUUUUUAAUGUGGGCAAAAUAUUUGAAUUUACCUUUGAAAAAUCUUGCCAAGACGGUGAACUAGCAUGUAUGCAAUUUUUACAAAUUUCUCCUGAAAGUUAAGUGUGUAUGAGUGUGUUUGUGAAGGACUUGCAUCGUUUUUUUUUUCCUGGUGUAAAAUCCUGUAAAUGUUAAACUUGUAAAUAGUUAAAUAUAAAAUACUUGCGUUCGCUGAUUAUUUAAUUGGAUAUGAAUUGAACAUAUUUGGCAACUUUAGAAGAUGAGCACGUGAUCGGUGGGGGAGGGGAGCAACGGUUAGCGUCUGAUACCAGAGAAAAGUCUCUGUGAAUAAAACGGAUAUUAUCUCAAAUAUAAUCUCGAUUACAGAUUGCAGAUAACGAGGAUAUGAAGAACAUGAAGAUGGACUGGUUUCACAUGCAGAUGUUGCAGCAUCUGCAUCUGAGGUUGAGAAGACACUCAAUCUACCUGCCAAUCCUCAUCUGAUUUUGCUGGUCAACAUUUUUGACUGCAGUUGCAAGUGUUUGCUGUGCACUACAUCUUCAACCUGCAGUAUCAAGAGGCGGCUUGUUGCACGUUAGAGUUUUUUCAAAGAUGAUUCUAUGGAAUAAACCCAGAAAGAGGCUCAAAGACCUGCCGAGGCAAGGUAGUCUCCAAGAAGACGGGGAAGGUGGUGAAUAAGAAGUCCACUACAGUCAGUCCAAAGGUUGCCACU